rnacentral:rRNA from 1 species
AAGAAAAUAUUGAAUUAUUUUUAAUGUUUAUAAUUAUUGUUUAAUAUAAAUAAAUUUAUAAUUAAAGGUUUUUGUAUAGUUUAUAGAUCUAAUAAUUUUUUUGAUAGUUAAUUAGUAUUGAGAAAGAAAAUUGAAAAAUAUUUUUGUUUAUUAAAAAGUAGUAUUAAUUUUGUGUACCUUUUGUAUCAGGGUUUAUUAAAUAAAAUUAAAAGAUUUUAUAUUCUCGAAUUUAAAGGAGCUAAAUUAAUAUGAAAGUUUUUGUAUUAUAAAAAUUUUUAAUAUUAAUUUAGUAAUGAAAUGUUAUUCGUCUUUAAAUAUAUCUAGUUUUUUAAGAAAUAAAUUUAAUUUACAUAUUAAUUAAUUAAUUUUUUAAUUUUAAAAUAAAUUAAUAAUUAAUAUGAAUAUAUCAAGGGAUAAGCUUUGAUUUAUUAGAAUUAUAAUUGGAUAAGAUAUUUUAUUAAUUGUAGAUUUAGAAAUAGUUAUCAAUAAAAAAUUUGUAUUAAUUUAUAAAUUUCUAAAAAAUAUUUAAUUAAAUUUAAUUUUAGUAUUAAAAUUUGGGUUAUAAUUUUUAAAAUUUAGCAAUAAUGAUAAAAUUAGUAUAAUAAAAUUGUUUAAAUAUAAUUUAUAAAAAAGUUAUUUUAAGGAAUUCGGCAAAAAUAAUGUUCACCUGUUUAACAAAAACAUGUCUUUUAGAAUAUAAUUUAAAGUCUAACCUGCCCACUGAAUUUUUUUGAAGGGCCGCGGUAUUUUGACUGUGCAAAGGUAGCAUAAUCAUUAGUCUUUUAAUUGGAGGCUUGUAUGAAUGGUUGGAUGAAACAUUAACUGUCUCAAUUUAAUAAAAGUAGAAUUUAAUUUUUAAGUUAAAAAGCUUAAAUUUAAUUAGAGGACGAGAAGACCCUAUAGAUCUUUAUAAUUAAUUAUUUUUUUAUUAAUUUAGAAAAUUAAUUAAUAUUAAUUAUUUAAUUAUUUUAUUGGGGUGAUAAAUAAAUUUAAUAAACUUUAUUUAAAUUUAACAUUUAUUUAUGAAUAUUUGAUCCAUUAUUAAUGAUUAAAAGAUUAAGUUACCUUAGGGAUAACAGCGUAAUUUUUUUAGAGAGUUCAUAUCGAUAAAAAAGUUUGCGACCUCGAUGUUGAAUUAAAGGUUAAUUUUAGGUGCAGAAGUUUAAAGUUUUGGUCUGUUCGACCAUUAAAUCUUUACAUGAUUUGAGUUCAAACCGGCGUGAGCCAGGUUGGUUUCUAUCCUUAAUAAAAUAAAAUAUUUUAGUACGAAAGGACCAAAUAUUUAAAAAAUUUUUUAAAAAAGGAAUUAUAUUAAU